CAGUUCGGAUCGGAGUCUGCAACCCGACUCCGUGAAGCUGGAUUCGCUAGUAAUCGCGCAUCAGCCAUGGCGCGGUGAAUACGUUCCCGGGCCUUGUACACACCGCCCGUCAAGCCAUGGGAGCCGGGGGUGCUUGAAGUGCGUCGCCGCGAGGCGCGCCCUAGAGCAAAACCGGUGACUGGGGCUAAGUCGUAACAAGGUACC
rnacentral:rRNA from 1 species